rnacentral:lncRNA from 1 species
AUGGUACUAUAGUGCAGUCGGCUAGAGUUGGUGAUUUGGUACAUAUCUCAUAUUGUUGAUAGAACGUGCUAUCCAAAAGCACCAAAGUUUUCGCUGCCCACCGUUUUGUUAGCUUAGUGCUACUAGUUAUUGCAUUUUAUUAAUUGGGUUUCAGGAUAAAUUUGAUAAUACUGUAAUUUUUAAAAUAAUUGUUGUUAAUCAGCUGUGAAAAUAAUCAAUUAAGUAUUUCGUAAAAUUUAUUUUUUAAAAAUUGUAUGAAUUGUUUAAAAAAUCAUAUGUCUUUAGUAAAUCAAAUUACUGUAAGAAUAUAAAUGACUAAAUUGAACAUAAUGUUGAAUAAAAUUUACACACACACACACACACACAUAUAUAUAUAUAUAUUA